AGAGUUUGAUCCUGGCUCAGGAUGAACGCUGGCGGCGUGCUUAACACAUGCAAGUCGAACGGACUUAUAUUGAAACCUAGUGAAUUAUAAGUUAGUGGCGGACGGGUGAGUAACGCGUGGAAAACCUGCCGUAUACUGGGGGAUAACACUUAGAAAUAGGUGCUAAUACCGCAUAAGCGCACAGCUUCGCAUGAAGCAGUGCGAAAAACUCCGGUGGUAUACGAUGGUUCCGCGUCUGAUUAGCUAGUUGGUGGGGUAAUGGCCUACCAAAGCGACGAUCAGUAGCCGGCCUGAGAGGGCGGACGGCCACAUUGGGACUGAGACACGGCCCAGACUCCUACGGGAGGCAGCAGUGGGGGAUAUUGCACAAUGGGGGGAACCCUGAUGCAGCGACGCCGCGUGAGUGAAGAAGUAAUUCGUUAUGUAAAGCUCUAUCAGCAGGGAAGAAUAAAUGACGGUACCUGAGUAAGAAGCCCCGGCUAACUACGUGCCAGCAGCCGCGGUAAUACGUAGGGGGCAAGCGUUAUCCGGAUUUACUGGGU
rnacentral:rRNA from 1 species